AGCAGUUGUUGUUGAGAUUUUUCCGCGUACCGCUAAACUACCUGUCGCCUCUAGUUAUCUAACGCUCUUCUAAUAAGAGACUGACCACUGGUCUGACACUUGGCUAGUACCAGCGGCAGUGCAUCUCAUAACGCUCCUCCAUCUCGACGUCCCCUGAAUGCCCAUCUGCUAGCCGCGGGCCCGCUAGCUGUCUAGAGCAUAUCGGACUGGUAGCUGAAGAGGUCCAUCAUCCAAUUUCUUGGGCUACUAUACCUAUUUGCCAAUUGGCCUGGACCCUUUUACUACACGGAGCCCUGUUGGUCCAUCACGACUGGUCUGCCGACAUAACCGCACGAGGGGGCUUCCGUCGCGACGUCCCUCCAAGGCCCUUCUGCGAGCCUCGGCCCCCUACCUGUCUGAAUCGCCGUGUCUCCAACCCGCCUAGCUACUCAGAGGACCCUAUGAUCACUCGGCUACGCAUGCCUCUCCCUAAUGGCAAUAUGCCUUGUCCAUUGCUGUUUUGAUUAGUGAUUGUCUUAUUUCACUGUAGAGCCUCCAGCCCUGCUCAAUAUGCCUAAGCUAACCCUUUUGUUCCACCUCCCACAUGUGCGGUGACCUCACCUAGUUUAAAUGGUGUCUCUAGAGUCAAUACCUCUCAUCGUCACUCAAUGCCUAGGUUUACCUCCACUGUAUUCACAUCCUACCAUACCUUUGUACAUUAUGCCUUGAAUCUAUUCUACCGUGCCCAUAAACCUGCUCUAUUCACCCUCUGUUCCGAACGUACUAGAUGACCAGUUCUUAUAGCAUUUAGCCGUAACCUUAUCCUACUCCUACUCUGUUCCUCUGGUGAUGUAGAGGUUACUCCAGGACCUGCAGUGCCUAGCUCCACUCCCAUUCCCCAGGCGCUCUCAUUUGUUGACUUCUGUAACUGUAAAAGCCUUGGUUUCAUCCGUGUUAACAUUAGACGACUCCUCCCUAAGUUUGUUUUAUUCACUGCUUUAGCACACUCUGCCAACCCGGAUGUCCUAGCCGUGUCUGAAUCCUGGCUUAGGAAAGCCACCAAAAACCCUGAAAUUUCCAUCCAUAACUAGUAACAUUUUCUGACAAGAUAGAACUGCCAAAGGGUGCAGAGUUGCAGUCUACUGCAGAGAUAGCCAGCAUAGUUCUGUCUUACGAUACAGGUCUGUGCCCAAACAAUUUGAGCUUCUACUUUUAAAAAUCAGAAACAAGUCUCUCACCGUUGCUGCUUGCAUAUAGAUCACCUUCUGCCCCCAGCUGUGCCCUGGACACCAUAUGUGAAUUGAUUGCCCCCCAUCUAUCUUCAGAGCUCAUGCUGUUAGGUGACCUAAACUGGGACAUGCUUAACACCCCGGCCAUCCUACAAUCUAAACUUGAUACCCUCAAUCUCACACAAAUGAUCAAUGAACCUACCAGGUACAACCCCAAAUCCGUAUACACGGGCACCCUUAUAGAUAUCAUCCUAAUCAACCUGCCCUCCAAAUACACCUCUGCUGUCUUCAACCAGGAUCUCAGCGGUCACUGCCUCAUUGCCUGCGUCCGUAAUGGGUCUUCGGUCAAACGACCACCCCUCAUCACUGUCAAACGCUCCCUUUAAACACUUCAGCGAGCAGACCUUUCUAAUCGACCUGGCCCGGGUAUCCUGGAAGGAUAUUGACCUCAUUCCAUCAGUAGAGGAUGCCUGGUUAUUCUUUAAAAAUGCUUUCCUCACCAUCUUAAAUAAGCAUGCCCAGUUCAAAAAAUUUAGAACAAGGAACAGAUAUAGCCCUUGGUUCACUCCAGACUUGACUGCCCUUGACCAGCACAAAAACAUCCUGUGGCGUACUGCAUUAGCAUCAAAUAGCCCCUGUGAUAUGCAACUAUUCAGGGAAGUUAGGAACCAAUAUAUACAGGCAGUUAGGAAAGCAAAGGCUAGCUUUUUCAAACAGAAAUUUGCAUCCUGUAGCACAAAGUCCCAAAAGUUCUGGGACACUAAAGUCCAUGGAGAAUAAGAGCACCUCCUCUCAGCUGACCACUGCACUGAGACUAGGAAACACUGUCACCACCGAUAAAUCCACGAUAAUUGAGAAUUUCAAUAAGCAUUUUUCUAUGGCUGGCCAUGCUUUCCACCUGGCUACCCCUUCCCCGGUCAACAGCCCCACACUCACCACAGCAAUUUGCCCAAGCCUCCCCCACCCAAAUCCAGAUGGCUGAUGAGCUGCAAAAUCUGGACCCCUACAAAUCAGCCGGGCUAGACAAUCUGGACCAUCUCUUUCUAAAAUGAUCCACCGAAAUUGCUGCAACCCCUAUUACUAGCCUGUUCAACCUCUAUUUCUGAGAUCCCCAAAGAUUGGAAAGCUGCCGCGGUCAUCCCCCUCUUCAAAGGGGGAGACACUCUAGACCCAAACUGCUGCAGACCUAUAUCUAUCCUACCCUGCCUUUCUAAGGUCUUCGAAAGCCAAGUUAACAAACAGAUCACCGAACAUUUCGACUCCCACUGUACCUUCUCCGCUAUGCAAUCUGGUUUCCGAGCUGGUCAUGGGUGCACCUCAGCCACGCUCAAGAUCCUAAACGAUAUCAUAACCGCCAUGGUUAGACUGUAAACUAUCCUUCCAUACUCACAUUAAGCAUCUCCAAUCCAAAAUUACAUCUAGAAUUUGCUUCCUAUUUCGCAAAAAAGCAUCCUUCAAUCAUGCUGCCAAACAUACCCUCGUAAAACUGACUAUCCUGCUGAUCCUUGACUUUGGCGAUGUCAUUUACAAAAUAGCCUCCUACACUCUACUCGACCUCCCGGUCGGUUACGACAGAGCCUGGGAAUGAACCCAGAGUCUCUGGUGGCACAGCUGGCGCUGCAGUACAGCACCCUUAACCACUGCACCACUCGGGAGGCCCUCUCCCUCACAGAUCACUGCAUCUGUAAAUAGCCCAUCCAACUACCUGAUCACCAUACUGUCAUCUAUUUUAUUUUGCUUCUUUGCACCCCAGUAUCUCUACUUGCACAUUCAUCUUUUGCACAUCUAUCACUCGUGUUUUAUUGCUAAAUUGUAAUUAUUUCACCACUAUGGACUAUUUUUGCCUUACCUCCCUGUUAUUGAUUGUAUGUUUGUUCAUUCUAGAGGUCCACCGAUUAAUCGGAAUGGCCGAUUAAUUAGGGCUGAUUUCAAGUUUUCAUAACAAUCGGAAAUUGGUAUUUUUGUGCGCCGAUUCUUUUUCUUUUUUUUUUACAAUAAAAAAAAAUAAUUUUAUUUAACUAGGCAAGUCGAUUAAGAACACAUUCUUAUUUUCAAUGACGGCCUAGGAACGGUGUGUUAAAUGCCUUGUUCAGGGGCAGAACGACAGAUUUUCACCUUGUCAGCUCAGGGGAUCCAAUCUUGCAGCGGUACAGUUAACUAGUCCAACGUCUAACCAUUGCACUCCACCAGUAGCCUGCCUGUUACGCGAAUGCAGUAGAAGCCAAGGUAAAUUGCUAGCUAGCAUUAAACUUAUCUUAUAAAAAACAAUCAAUCAUAAUCACUAGUUGUAACUACUAAUCCAGUUUAGCAGGCAAUAUUAACCAGGUGAAUUGUCAUUUAUCUUGUGUUCAUUGCACGCAGAGUCGGUAUAUGCAACAGUUUGGGCUGCCUGGCUCAUUGCGAACUAAUUAUGACAUAACAUUGAAGGUUAUACAAUGUAACAAGAAUAUUUAGACUUAGGGAUGCCACCCGUUAGAUAAAAUACCGGACGGUUCCGUAUUUCACUGAAAUAAUAAACGUUUUGUUUUCGAAAUUAUAGUUUCCGGAUUCGACCAUAUUAAUGACCAAAGGCUCGUAUUUCUUUGUGUUAUGUUAUAAUUAAGUCUGUUUUGAUAGAGCAGUCUGAGUGAGCAGCAGCAGGCCCAUAAUCAUUCAUUCAAACAGCACUUUCGUGCGUUUUGCCACCAGCUCUUCGCAAAAACAGCGCUGUUUGACUUCAAGCCUAUCAGCCUAAUGACUGGUGUAACCAAUGUGGAAUGGCUAGCUAGUUAGCUGGGUGUGCGCUAAUACUGUUUCAAACGUCACUCGCUUUUGGAUUUGGAGUAGUUAUUCCCCUUGCAGCGAUGGGUAACGAUGCUUCGAGUGUGGCUGUUGUCGAUGUGUUCCUGGUUCGAGCCCAGGUCGGGGCGAAGAGGGGGACGGAAGCUAUACUGUUACACUGGCAAUACUACAGUGCCUAUAAGAACAUCCAAUAGUCAAAGGUAUAUGAAAUACAAAUGGUGUGCUGCCAUCCUGUUAGAAGGUAACAGAUUAUUUUAUUACAAUUGUUAAAUUGGAUUUUCAUUGUGUUCAAUGGUGUUAUUUGCCCCCUAGUGGCGCUUUCUGGUACUUAGAAAGACGACGCAAACAGGAAGUACAGAAUUUGUUUUGCACGCAUAGAAGCAGCUACAAACAACGCUACGGUGCAGGUCUUUCAAUGUAGUUAUUUCUUGUCACGCUUCAGCCUUGGAAAAAUAUUUGUUUGUAAGUUCGAUUCAAGCAUUUAGCUAAUGAUGAUAAUCUUGUUAUUGAUAGAGUUGCUUACAUAUCAAUGUUGGUUGCAUUUACUCAC